rnacentral:rRNA from 1 species
UACGUAGGCAGCGAGCGUUGUUCGGAGUUACUGGGCGUAAAGAGUGCGUAGGCGGUUUUCUAAGUUUGGUGUGAAAUCUCCCGGCUUAACUGGGAGGGUGCGCCGAAGACUGGAAGGCUUGAGUAUGGGAGAGGUAAGCGGAAUUCCUGGUGUAGCGGUGAAAUGCGUAGAUAUCAGGAGGAACACCUGCGGUGUAGACGGCUUACUGGACCAUAACUGACGCUGAGGCGCGAAAGCUAGGGGAGCAAACAGG